GAGGUUUAUUCAGUGAGUCCUCUGAGAAUCUGUCCUUGUCCAGAGUGACUGGUUGAUGUGUCUUAUCCUGAAUCUGCAGGCGCCCGCAGUGUGGGAAUCAGGCCAACAGCCCCUUGCGGUGUUUUCAUGAGCUGAUAUUUUUAAAAGUUGAAGGGCGCUGCUCUUCUUUCUCAAUUGUAGAACCAGGACAGGAAUAACCCAACGAUGAGGAUCACGUGAGGAUGAACAUGAACAUGGUGCAAAACAAGACCCGAAGGCUGGUAUGAAUGACGUCAGGAGAGAGGACAGGACACCCGUGGGGGCCAUGAGACCCUGGGCAUUUGCUGCCAGCAGCCAGCAGAGGUAAAUCACUCGCAGCCACGGAAACUCCGAGGGGCAACGUCCAGUCUCAUUCGGAGGAUGGAAAGUAAAAUAACGGCUUCCUGAAAGAAGAUGGAAAGACAAGACUUGAAAACAGAUGCCCUUAGAUAAGGAAACACACAAGAGAAAUGAACUUUUCUGGAACGUCCCCACGGAUGUCUGGCACUGUGUUCAGCACUCUGUGAUGAAGAUCAUUGAAUGAGGCUUGGUCAGUGCUCGUACCAGUCCUUUGAGAUGGUAUUUUCUGCAUUUGACAGAUGAGGAAAUGAGGCUCAGAGAGAUUAAGUACAUUGUCCAAGGUCCCCCAACUGAUGGUAGUAGACCCUAGAUAUAAUCCAAGUCUGUCUUCCUCUAAAAACCAUCCUUUGCCCAUAGGAUCACUCUCUAAACAGAGACUCUUAUAAAAGGGAGGAAGUGGGGGGAACCUUAGAGACCAGGCCU
rnacentral:lncRNA from 1 species